UGGGGAAUCUUGCGCAAUGGGCGAAAGCCUGACGCAGCAACGCCGCGUGCGGGAAGAAGGCCCUCGGGUUGUAAACCGCUUUCAGUAGGAACGAAAAUGACGGUACCUGCAGAAGAAGGUGCGGCCAACUACGUGCCAGCAGCCGCGGUGACACGUAGGCACCAAGCGUUGUCCGGAUUUAUUGGGCGUAAAGAGCUCGUAGGCGGUUCGGUAAGUCGGGUGUGAAAACUUUGGGCUUAACCCAAAGCCUGCAUCCGAUACUGCUGUGACUAGAGUUCGGUAGGGGAGCGGGGAAUUCCUAGUGUAGCGGUGAAAUGCGCAGAUAUUAGGAGGAACACCGGUGGCGAAGGCGCCGCUCUGGGCCGAUACUGACGCUGAGGAGCGAAAGCGUGGGUAGCAAACA
rnacentral:rRNA from 1 species